rnacentral:rRNA from 1 species
UACAGGGGGUGCAAACGUUGCUCGGAAUUAUUGGGCGUAAAGCGCGCGUAGGCGGCUACCUAAGUCGGAUGUGAAAGCCCCUGGCUUAACUGGGGAAGUGCACCCGAAACUGAGUAGCUAGAGUGCGAAAGAGGGUCGCGGAAUUCCCGGUGUAGAGGUGAAAUUCGUAGAUAUCGGGAGGAACACCGGUGGCGAAGGCAGCUCGCUGGGACGGUACUGACGCUGAGGCGCGAAAGCGUGGGGAGCAAACAGG